rnacentral:rRNA from 1 species
UACGUAGGUGGCAAGCGUUGUCCGGAUUUACUGGGCGUAAAGAGCGCGCAGGCGGUCGUUCAAGUCGCGUGUGAAAGCCCCCGGCUCAACUGGGGAGGGUCACGCGAUACUGAUCGACUGGAAGGCAGGAGAGGGUAGUGGAAUUCCCGGUGUAGUGGUGAAAUGCGUAGAUAUCGGGAGGAAUACCAGUGGCGAAGGCGGCUUCCUGGCCUGUUCUUGACGCUGAGGCGCGAAAGCUGGGGGAGCAAACGGG